rnacentral:rRNA from 1 species
AAGACCUUGCGCUUUUGGAGCGGCCGAUGCCUGAUUAGCUUGUUGGUAAGGUAAAAGCUUACCAAGGCUUCGAUCAGUAGCUGGUCUGAGAGGACGGCCAGCCACACUGGGACUGAGACACGGCCCAGACUCCUACGGGAGGCAGCAGUGGGGAAUUUUGGACAAUGGGGGCAACCCUGAUCCAGCCAUGCCGCGUGAGUGAAGAAGGCCUUCGGGUUGUAAAGCUCUUUCAGCCGGAACGAAACGGUUACGGUUAAUACCCGUGAUUACUGACGGUACCGGAAGAAGAAGCACCGGCUAACUACGUGCCAGCAGCCGCGGUAAUACGUAGGGUGCGAGCGUUAAUCGGAAUUACUGGGCGUAAAGCGUGCGCAGGUGGUUUUGUAAGUCAGAUGUGAAAUCCCCGGGCUCAACCUGGGAACU